UCGUCCGUCGCAUUCGCGUGGGUUUUAAUUUCCUCGAACCGAUGCUCUUUGAGCAAGGGCUUGGAACAUUGCCCGGCUGGUGUGAUCGUCUCGCGUCAGAUGAACCCGAAGCCGGGCUGACCUCGCCCACCUGGACCUCGCACCUAUGGGUUCAGGAAUGCGGCCCACGGUUUGCGGCGGACACU
rnacentral:other from 1 species